UACGUAGGCAGCGAGCGUUAAUCGGAAUUACUGGGCGUAAAGCGCGCGUAGGCGGCUUUGCAAGUCGGGUGUGAAAUCCCCAGGCUUAACCUGGGAACUGCAUUCGAGACUGCAUUGCUAGAGUAUGGGAGAGGGAAGUGGAAUUUCCGGUGUAGCGGUGAAAUGCGUAGAUAUCGGAAGGAACAUCAGUGGCGAAAGCGACUUCCUGGACCAAUACUGACGCUCAUGUGCGAAAGCGUGGGGAGCAAACAGG
rnacentral:rRNA from 1 species